rnacentral:tRNA from 1 species
GCCGACUUAGCUCAGCUGGUAGAGCUCCCGCCUUGUAAGCGGACGGUCGCGGGUUCGAGUCCCGCAGUCGGCU